AUGAGUUGCCCUGCUCAACUCCUGGGGCUGCUCAUGCUCUGGAUCCCAGGAUCUGCUGGGGUUGCUAUGUUGACCCAAACUCCACUCUCCCUGCCUGUCACCCUUGGAGAUCAGGCCUCCAUCUCCUGCAGGUCUAGUGAGAGCCUCCUGUACAGUAAUGGAAAAACGUAUUUGUAUUGGUUCGUGCAGAAGCCAGGCCAGUCUCCACAGCGACUGAUCUAUUGGGUUUCCAACCGAGAAACUGGAGUCCCAGACAGAUUCAGUGGCAGUGGGUCAGUCACAGAUUUCACACUGACAAUCAGCAGGGUGGAAUCUGAGGAUAUUGGUGUUUAUUACUGCUUUCAAGAUACACAUGAUCCUCCCACAGUGAUACAGCCCUGA